rnacentral:rRNA from 1 species
GUCUAUGGCCAUGCCACACUGAACAAGCCCAAUGUCUGAUCUCGGAAGCUAAGCAGGGUCGGGCCUGGUUAGUACUUGGAUGGGAGACCACCUAGGAAGACCAGGUGCUGUAGGCG